rnacentral:rRNA from 1 species
CGAUGGAGACAGAGCCGUUCCACUCGGGCACGCACUCAGACAGAUGGUACUUAAAAGGGAGCUUUGGGGGCACACGAGAGACCAAGCGUCCAAGGAGCAGCUAGCUGCCCGACCCGAACGCCGGCAGAACCUCGCUCUACGCUCCGCCGACGUAGAAGGCCAGACGGGCAGGCAGCUCAGUCUAGACAAUAGAUAGACUACCGGGCCGCCGCCUAGACCCCCAAGGUCCGCCAGAGCCCAACUGAGACGCCACUCCUUCCGCAGAAGAGGCUGCACGUGCACACCUAGGGCCGAAGAGGCGGAGCGCGCUGCUGCCGAGAACAUAACUAUUAAUAGACUACUAUAGAGCUAUUAAUAAUG